CUCCUGGGCGGANUGCCUGAAGCAGCAACGCCGCGUGAGGGAUGAAGGCCUUCGGGUUGUAAACCUCUUUUCUCAGGGACGAUAAUGACGGUACCUGAGGAAUAAGCCACGGCUAACUACGUGCCAGCAGCCGCGGUAAUACGUAGGUGGCAAGCGUUGUCCGGAUUUACUGGGCGUAAAGAGCGCGCAGGCGGCCGAGUAAGUCGAAUGCGAAAGCCCCCGGCUCAACUGGGGAAGGUCAUUCGAUACUUGUUCGGCUUGAAGAUAGGAGAGGGAAGCGGAAUUUCAGGUGUAGUGGUGAAAUGCGUAGAUAUCUGAAGGAACACCAGUGGCGAAGGCGGCUUUCUGGCCUAUUCUUGACGCUUGAGGCGCGAAAGC
rnacentral:rRNA from 1 species